rnacentral:rRNA from 1 species
UACAGAGGGGGCAAGCGUUAUUCGGAAUUAUUGGGCGUAAAGGGCUCGUAGGCGGUUUGUCGCGUCGGGAGUGAAAAUCCAGGGCUUAACUCUGGACUGGCUUCCGAUACGGGCAGACUAGAGGUAUGCAGGGGAGAACGGAAUUCCUGGUGUAGCGGUGAAAUGCGUAGAUAUCUGGAGGAACACCGGUGGCGAAGGCGGCAUCCUGGACCGGCAUUGACGCUGAGGCGCGAAAGCUAGGGGAGCAAACGGG